UACAGAGGUCUCAAGCGUUGUUCGGAUUCAUUGGGCGUAAAGGGCGUGUAGGUGGCUCGCUAAGUCGGGUGUGAAAUUUCGGAGCUUAACUCCGAAACUGCAUUCGAUACUGCCGUGCUUGAGGACUGGAGAGGAGACUGGAAUUUACGGUGUAGCGGUGAAAUGCGUAGAUAUCGUAAGGAAGACCAGUGGCGAAGGCGGGUCUCUGGACAGUUCCUGACGCUGAGGCACGAAGGCCAGGGGAGCAAACGGG
rnacentral:rRNA from 1 species